GAAUUACAACUCACGACCUGGAUACGAAAUGCAUUUAGCAACUCACAAGUACCAUCAGCAGAGUGAUUUCACCGAAGAGUGCAAACGGUGCGACAUUCUGACGCGCAAGGGCGAAGUUCAUCGUUGCUACAACGACAUCCUGUACUGCUACGUGUGCGGA